AGAGUUUGAUCCUGGCUCAGAACGAACGCUGGUGGUAUGCUUAACACAUGCAAGUCGAACGAUAUGUUUUCGGACAUAUAGUGGCAAACGGGUGAGUAACACGUAGGAACAUACCCAUGGGUAGGGGAUAGCUUUUGGAAACGAAAAUUAAUACCGUAUAUCUCUAAGGAGAAAAGAUUUAUCGCCCAUGGAUUGGCCUGCGCUAGAUUAGGUAGUUGGUAGGGUAAUGGCCUACCAAGCCUAUGAUCUAUAGCUGGUCUGAGAGGAUGAUCAGCCACACUAGGACUGAGACACGGCCUAGACUCCUACGGGAGGCAGCAGUGAGGAAUUUUGGACAAUGGGGGAAACCCUGAUCCAGCAAUACCACGUGAGUGAUGAAGGCCUUCGGGUUGUAAAGCUCUUUUAAUGGGGAAGAUAAUGACUGUACCCAUAGAAUAAGUACCGGCUAACUCUGUGCCAGCAGCCGCGGUAAGACAGAGGGUGCAAGCGUUGUUCGGAUUUACUGGGCGUAAAGGGCGUGUAGGUGUAUUGGUAAGUCGGAUGUGAAAUCUUGGGGCUCAACCCCAAAACUGCAUUCGAUACUGCCAGUAUAGAGAUUAUGAGAGGAGAGUGGAAUUACUAGUGUAGAGGUUAAAUUCGUAAAUAUUAGUAGGAACACCAAGGGCGAAGGCAGCUCUCUGGCAUAAAUCUGACAUUGAGGCGCGAAAGUGUGGGUAGCAAACAGGAUUAGAUACCCUGGUAGUCCACACCCUAAACGAUGAGUGCUAGGUGUUAGGAAUUUUUCUUAGUGCCUAAGCUAACGCGUUAAGCACUCCGCCUGGGUAGUACGAUCGCAAGAUUAAAACUUAAAGGAAUUGACGGGGACUCGCACAAGCGGUGGAGCAUGUGGUUUAAUUCGAUGGUCCGCGAAAAACCUUACCAGCCUUUGACAUAUAUGUGAAAUAGUGCGUAGUGGCACUACUUUUAGCUUGCUAAACACAUAUACAGGUGUUGCAUGGCCGUCGUCAGCUCGUGUCGUGAGAUGUUGGGUUAAGUCCUAUAACGAGCGCAACCCUUGUCCUUAGUUGCCAGCACAUAAUGGUGGGUACUUUAAGGAGACUGCCGGUGAUAAGCCGGAGGAAGGAAAGGAUGACGUCAGGUCCUCAUGGCCCUUUUAGGCUGGGCUACACAUGUGCUACAAUGGUGACUACAGAGGGACGCGAAUGGGCGACCUGGAGCAAAUCCCACAAAAGUCAUCUUAGUUCGGAUUACUCUCUGCAACUCGAGAGUAUGAAGUCGGAAUCGCUAGUAAUCGCAGAUCAGCACGCUGCGGUGAAUAUGUUCUCGGGUCUUGUACACACCGCCCGUCAAGCCAUGGAAGUCGGUCUUGUCUUAAAUGAGUGAGCCAACCCUUUAUUGGGAGGCAGCUUAUCACGAUGAGGUCGGUAACUGGGGUUAAGUCGUAACAAGGUAACC
rnacentral:rRNA from 1 species